GAUGAAGCCCUUCGGGGUGGAUUAGUGGCGAACGGGUGAGUAACACGUGGGCAAUCUGCCCUGCACUCUGGGACAAGCCCUGGAAACGGGGUCUAAUACCGGAUACGAGCCGGGGAGGCAUCUCCCUGGUUGGAAAGCUCCGGCGGUGCAGGAUGAGCCCGCGGCCUAUCAGCUUGUUGGUGAGGUAACGGCUCACCAAGGCGACGACGGGUAGCCGGCCUGAGAGGGCGACCGGCCACACUGGGACUGAGACACGGCCCAGACUCCUACGGGAGGCAGCAGUGGGGAAUAUUGCACAAUGGGCGAAAGCCUGAUGCAGCGACGCCGCGUGAGGGAUGACGGCCUUCGGGUUGUAAACCUCUUUCAGCAGGGAAGAAGCGAGAGUGACGGUACCUGCAGAAGAAGCGCCGGCUAACUACGUGCCAGCAGCCGCGGUAAUACGUAGGGCGCGAGCGUUGUCCGGAAUUAUUGGGCGUAAAGAGCUCGUAGGCGGCUUGUCACGUCGGUUGUGAAAGCCCGGGGCUUAACCCCGGGUCUGCAGUCGAUACGGGCAGGCUAUAGUUCGGUAGGGGAGAUCGGAAUUCCUGGUGAACCGGUGAAAUGCGAACAUAUCUCGAGGAACACCGG
rnacentral:rRNA from 1 species